CAGUAACCGCGAGUGAAGCGGCAACAGCUCAAAUUUGAAAUCUGGCUCCUUCGGGGUCCGAAUUGUAAUUUGUAGAGAGUGCUUCGGGCGAGACCUCGGUCUAAGUCCAUUGGAACAUGGUGUCAUAGAGGGUGAGAAUCCCGUAUGCGACCGUGGCUCGAGCCCAUGUGAAGCCUCUUCGACGAGUCGAGUUGUUUGGGAAUGCAGCUCAAAACGGGUGGUAAAUUUCAUCUAAAGCUAAAUACUGGCUGGAGACCGAUAGCGCACAAGUAGAGUGAUCGAAAGAUGAAAAGCACUUUGGAAAGAGAGUCAAACAGUACGUGAAAUUGUUGAAAGGGAAGCGCUUGCAACCAGACCUGCCCGUAGGCGAUCAGCCGCUGUUCUCAGCGGUGCACUCGCUCUGCGAUCAGGCCAGCAUCGGUUUCGGCGGUCGGAUAAAGGCCUUGGGAAUGUAGCUUCCCUUCGGGGGAGUCUUAUAGCCCUCGGUGUAAUGCGGCCAGCCGGGACCGAGGACCGCGCUUCGGCUAGGAUGCUGGCGUAAUGGUUGUAAGCGACCCGUCUUGAAACACGGACCAAGGAGUCUAACAUCUAUGCGAGUGUUUGGGUGUCAAACCCAUACGCGGAAUGAAAGUGAACGGAGGUGAGAACCCUUAAGGGCGCAUCAUCGACCGAUCCAGAUGUCUUCGGAUGGAUUUGAGUAUGAGCAUAGCUGUUGGGACCCGAAAGAUGGUGAACUAUGCCUGAAUAGGGUGAAGCCAGAGGAAACUCUGGUGGAGGCUCGCAGCGGUUCUGACGUGCAAAUCGAUCGUCAAAUUUGGGUAUAGGGGCGAAAGACUAAUC
rnacentral:rRNA from 1 species